GAUGAACGCUGGCGGCGUGCCUAAUACAUGCAAGUCGAGCGAACGGACGAGAAGCUUGCUUCUCUGAUGUUAGCGGCGGACGGGUGAGUAACACGUGGAUAACCUACCUAUAAGACUGGGAUAACUUCGGGAAACCGGAGCUAAUACCGGAUAAUAUUUUGUACCGCAUGGUUCAAAAGUGAAAGACGGUCUUGCUGUCACUUAUAGAUGGAUCCGCGCUGCAUUAGCUAGUUGGUAAGGUAACGGCUUACCAAGGCAACGAUGCAUAGCCGACCUGAGAGGGGGAUCGGCCACACUGGAACUGAAACACGGUCCAGACUCCUACGGGAGGCAGCAGUAGGGAAUCUUCCGCAAUGGGCGAAAGCCUGACGAAGCAACGCCGCGUGAGUGAUGAAGGUCUUCGGAUCGUAAAACUCUGUUACUAGGGAAGAACAGAUGUGUAAGUAACUGUGCACAUCUUGACGGUACCUAAUCAGAAAGCCACGGCUAACUACGUG
rnacentral:rRNA from 1 species